rnacentral:lncRNA from 1 species
GAGUAUUAGAAAUAAACAACAAGAUGUUUUUUUUUUUUAUUUUGACAGUUAAAUAAUAAAAUUUGAUCCAAAACGUCAAACUUAAGCAUUGUAUUCAACUACUUGAUGUAAAUUCAAUCCAUUGUCCUUUAAAUUGUCGAUUUUUGAUUGGUUGAGACGAGAGGGUAACAUUCAAAAAAAUUGUCACCCUCUCAGCUAUGUGAUAGAGUAAAAUGACACCCUCGUAUUAGCCAAUCAAAAUAUGGCAUUUUAACGUGAAGUAUAAUAAUAUAUAAUGAAAUG